ACAGGUUCUAACAAAAUUAUUUUUAUUUUAGAUUUUUACUAAGAGGCGACACGUACCAUCGGUGAUCUUUCAUUUCUGUAUGGUCAAUUUCAGUACUGUGGACAAUUGUUGGAAAUGCCCUGGAAUCAAUUAAUUCUUCUUCUUCUGGUGGGUACCAUGUUUCUAUGGCAAGGAGGAAAAAUGGAGUCUCAAACAGUUCAUGACAUUGCCAAAAGAAGUGUUGGAAAUAGUGCUGCCACAAAGCCUAAGAUAG